AAUAACAUUUGUACCGUAGACAGCAGGUGCUUUCUUCAAAGCUUAAUUUCCUGCCGAGGUAAGAUUGGAUAGAUGUAUGUCCUUUUGACAUUGUCUUCUUUGCCUCCGUGUCUACGCAUGGAGGUUUUUUAUUG
rnacentral:sRNA from 1 species